rnacentral:rRNA from 1 species
UAACACUAACUGGAGGACCGAACCGACUAAUGUUGAAAAAUUAGCGGAUGACUUGUGGCUGGGGGUGAAAGGCCAAUCAAACCGGGAGAUAGCUGGUUCUCCCCGAAAGCUAUUUAGGUAGCGCCUCGUGAAUUCAUCUUCGGGGGUAGAGCACUGUUUCGGCUAGGGGGUCAUCCCGACUUACCAACCCGAUGCAAACUACGAAUACCGAAGAAUGUUAUCACGGGAGACACACGGCGGGUGCUAACGUCCGUCGUGAAGAGGGAAACAACCCAGACCGCCAGCUAAGGUCCCAAAGUCAUGGUUAAGUGGGAAACGAUGUGGGAAGGCACAGACAGCCAGGAUGUUGGCUUAGAAGCAGCCAUCAUUUAAAGAAAGCGUAAUAGCUCACUGGUCGAGUCGGCCUGCGCGGAAGAUGUAACGGGGCUAAACCAUGCACCGAAGCUGCGGCAGCGACACUAUGUGUUGUUGGGUAGGGGAGCGUUCUGUAAGCCUGCGAAGGUGACCUGUGAGGGUUGCUGGAGGUAUCAGAAGUGCGAAUGCUGACAUAAGUAACGAUAAAGCGGGUGAAAAGCCCGCUCGCCGGAAGACCAAGGGUUCCUGUCCAACGUUAAUCGGGGCAGGGUGAGUCGACCCCUAAGGCGAGGCCGAAAGGCGUAGUCGAUGGGAAACAGGUUAAUAUUCCUGUACUUGGUGUUACUGCGAAGGGGGGACGGAGAAGGCUAUGUUAGCCGGGCGACGGUUGUC